AGGGUGUCAGCUAAUUUAAGUAUCUUAUUAUGUCACAUGAGAAAUGAUAUCAAGUCCAAUCUAAUAUUAGACAUAAUAAGAGCUUAGUAGAAAAGAGUUAAUACAAUCAAAUGAGCUUUGUAAUACUCUAGUCUAGUACCACAUCAAUAGAACAUAAAUAUUUGAAUUAACUUACAAGAGUUUGAUGAAAACAUUAUUGCCAGUAACUCUAGUCCUUACAUGCAUAGAUUAAUUCUAAUCAAUGUUAGACACCGACAAGGAUGACAAACCCCUAAAUGUAAGAAAUUGUAAUACCUCAAUUUAAUCCCACAUCAAAAGUCGAUGAAGAAUUAAAUGAAGUUAAUAUCCCUAUUUUAGUUUCAUAUUCAUAGUUGAUAAAUUAAAUCUUGAUUAGCAUGCUUUUAUAACGAUUCACUUGAGAACAGCCAUGUUAUUUUUAAUAAAUUUAUUGGUUUCAUUAGUCAGCCAAUUUUACAAUCAGAUCAGGAGGGGAUAAUAUGAUCAUAUGCAACUUUUGCAGACUAUACAUCAUCUUACUUAUGCUAUUUCUGAAAAGAAUUGCAAUAAUUAUCCUAAUAUAUAAUUUUGGGCUCAUUGAGGAUACGCCAACAAACAAAUUUAUGACUAUAACGAGGGGAGAAAGCAAAUUAAAAGUCAAAACAGAAACAUACAACAGUAACAGACGACCCUGAGAAAGACCCAGAAGUCAUGUGGCGACAAACAAUAUGCUAAGAAAGAAGCUGAGGACAUGAAAGCAAGAAUCUACCG
rnacentral:lncRNA from 1 species